AGCGUAGACGGCAAGGCAAGUCUGAAGUGAAAGCCCGGUGCUUAACGCCGGGACUGCUUUGGAAACUGUUUAGCUGGAGUGCCGGAGAGGUAAGCGGAAUUCCUAGUGUAGCGGUGAAAUGCGUAGAUAUUAGGAAGAACACCAGUGGCGAAGGCGGCUUACUGGACGGUAACUGACGUUGAGGCUCGAAAGCGUGGGGAGCAAACA
rnacentral:rRNA from 1 species